rnacentral:misc_RNA from 1 species
GUUUGAACCAAAAAAUAUCAAAAAUGGCAAUGCAAUUUAAAAUAUUUGAAGUAAAAAGGGCCAGUCACCUACUUCUAAUCGAGGACCAGGAAUUUUAACAAUCUCACUGGUUGAGUCAAUUGUCAUCUUCAUGUUUGUCAGUUGAACAAGUUGCUAGGUCUGGUGCUGCCCAUCAUUCUCUCCAUAUUUUGUUAUGCAUCCACUUUCAAACUUAGACCAGUGAUCAACUGAUCAUUAGUGUAUGAUUCACUUCAACAAGACUUCAAUCACUUGGAUCCGGUCUGUAUCCUAAGUUCAGCAUAAUUGAUUAAGCUUAGCUAGUCUUGUCUAUUA